AAGACUCAGUAAUAUUUCAUGUUACACACAUGACGCAUUUUCUUUAUUCAUUCACCCAUCGGAGGACAUCUAGGCUGCUUCCACUUCUUGGCUACUGUGAAUAGUCUACAAUGAACAUGGAUGUAAUGAAACCGAACAGGCAGCUUGAGAGCGGGAGGAAACCUGUUGUUGCCGUUGUACCCUAGCACCGCACACGGGCCAGAUGUACAGCCCAUAGGCUUGUCUCACUUCCCAGGCUGUGAGCCCUUCCAGGACGGGAAUGAUGUCACCUCCCUCUUUGGUUUAGUGGCCUCGCUAUGCAGUGGCUAUAACUCACACCCCAGUCUCCUGAAAUAAUAUAGCACUGAUCGUGCAGACAUUCGGUUUUCUACUCAAAGGUAUGUGUGAAUGUUCGCAGAUGAGGCAAAUGCCCUCUGAAAUAAAUGAGCACCCAGGUACCCCUCUUUUCCCCUUUCACCUCCAGGAGCAACUCCCUCUGUACACACACCUUACCUAGGGUAAAACCGUUCUAGUGAAGUGACUCAUUUGCGUUUUCUGUUCAAAUCCCAUGAAAGAAAAUACGACUUGCCAGAGUCACACUAAGAGGAAGGAAGGGCAUUUUAACCUCUGCUAAACUAACAAAUUUUUAGUCAGCAACCGGAAACAAUUGAGGUUUUUAUUUACAAUAUUGUACAUCUUAUGAGCCUAUCUAAUGACUCAUGAGGUGAUUCAUUCCCUCUCUCAUCCCUCUGCCCAGUUCCUAAGAUCUGCCCAUUCAUCUUAAGAUUUCCUGCUAAAGCCAUCCUUUGCUUUCCAUCUCUGUUCAGGCCCCUGCCUCCUCCUUCUCUCUGUGAAAUUGCCCCUCCAGUGGGUUCCCUGACGACAGUCAUGCCUUCUAGAAUCCAGACCCCACACUGGCACCAGACAGGUAGCUCCACAUCCCACGCCACCCACCACCCUUCAAUACCUUCCCUUGUCUCCACCACUCAGCUCUUGAGCUUGAACAGAAGUCUCAACAACCUGACGAGA